GCUGCAAGUGCGCAACUUCCAAGUAAUCAAAAUGCAUCAGCUGCUGCAGAGGAAACAGAUUAUCCUGAUCAGCCUCCAUCUUCACAUGGACAGGAGAGUUUGCCUGCAAAAGGAGAUGGUAAUAUCUCAUCCUCUGCUCCAGAGUGCAGUGAACCAAAGCAGGAGAGUCUGCCGGCGGGCCAACAAUAUUCAGUUGUUCAUACAUCCCCCAACUAUAAUUUUGGAUUUGCGCCACCAAUGUUGACCAAUCAGCUCCCACCCUUUGAAAAUUCUGAAUCUCAACCUCGAGAUGUUUCUCGUCUUCCAAAUUUCCUUGUUCAGCAUCCGAUUGACCCAAGCUACUAUCCCCACUUCUACCGUUCAAGUGCUG
rnacentral:misc_RNA from 1 species